ensembl:lncRNA
AUUUAGUCGGCCCUGAUUGGUCUGAUUCACGACGGCGUCUGGCGUCACACAUAGCCUCGUGCAGAGCCAUAAUCUAUUCUAUUUGACAUUUGCGGAUCUCUUCUCUUGUCGAACCUACUCCGGAGAUGUAACGAACUGGUCAACAGCAGUUAGAUAGCAGAAAGAUGAUUGCCUCGAUUGAUUUGAUCCAUCCAACUGUCUGCAAACAUGGAUCUCUGAUGCAGCCAGUGCGGUUGGGAGAUUCUUACGGGUGCCAAGUUUGCAGAAAAUUUGGCGAUUACCCAGCCAUUGUUGCACAUGUUCAAACACAUGACAAAGCAGCCGUAUCUCACAAUGGCUACAAAAUCUAUAGGUGCCAACACAACUGUGCC